AGGACGAACGCUGGCGGCGUGCUUAACACAUGCAAGUCGAGCGGAAAGGCCCUUCGGGGUACUCGAGCGGCGAACGGGUGAGUAACACGUGAGUAAUCUGCCCCUAGCUCUGGGAUAGCUCCGGGAAACCGGGAUUAAUACCGGAUACGACCACCUUAGACAUCUUUUGUGGUGGAAAGAAUUUCGGCUAGGGAUGAGCUCGCGGCCUAUCAGCUUGUUGGUGGGGUAACGGCCUACCAAGGCGACGACGGGUAGCCGGCCUGAGAGGGCGACCGGCCACGACUGGGACUGAGACACGGCCCAGACUCCUACGGGAGGCAGCAGUGGGGAAUAUUGCGCAAUGGGCGAAAGCCUGACGCAGCGACGCCGCGUGGGGAUGAAGGCCUUCGGGUUGUAAACCCCUUUCAGCAGGGACGAAGCGAAAGUGACGGUACCUGCAGAAGAAGCGCCGGCUAACUACGUGCCAGCAGCCGC
rnacentral:rRNA from 1 species